UCCGGUUUGUCACCGGCAGUCUCAUUAGAGUGCCCAACUGAAAUGUAGCAACUAAUGACAAGGGUUGCGCUCGUUGCGGGACUUAACCCAACAUCUCACGACACGAGCUGACGACAGCCAUGCAGCACCUGUGUUCAGGUUCCCUUUCGGGCACACCCGGCUUUCACCAGGCUCCAGGACAUGUCAAGGGUAGGUAAGGUUUUUCGCGUUGCAUCGAAUUAAUCCACAUCAUCCACCGCUUGUGCGGGUCCCCGUCAAUUCCUUUGAGUUUUAAUCUUGCGACCGUACUUCCCAGGCGGGACACUUAAUGCGUUAGCUGCGUCACCGAAGAGUGAACUCCCCAGCGACAAGCACACAUCGUUUACGGCGUGGACUAC
rnacentral:misc_RNA from 1 species